GCAAGUCGAACGAGAAAGCGGGCUUCGGCCCGUGAGUAAAGUGGCAGACGGGUGAGUAACACGUGGGUAACCUGUCCGGAGGUGCGGGAUAACCCUUCGAAAGGAGGGCUAAUACCGCAUAACAUCCUCGGGCCUUCGGUCUCGAGGAUCAAAGCUUGCCUCUACUCGUAAGCAAGCGCCAUCGGAGGGGCCCGCGCCCCAUUAGCUUGUUGGUGAGGUAACGGCUCACCAAGGCUGCGAUGGGUAGCCGGCCUGAGAGGGUGAUC
rnacentral:rRNA from 1 species